rnacentral:lncRNA from 1 species
AUGUUUGAGUCGACCCAAGUGAAAGUUGGGUCGACCCAAGGACAGGUUGAGCCGACCCAAACACGGGCUGAAGCAUAACGGCUAGUUCUGCAGAUGUACUUUUUGUCCUUCCCAAAGUCAGUAACGGCUAGUUUUUGAAUUCUAACCAUUGGAGCUUGUCCAAUGGAUGUAGGAGACUAUUUAAAGUGGCACUAUUCAUUAGAUAGAACAACUUUUGAAAGGAACAUCCAAGAGUACACAAGAAAACAAAAGUGCCCUAAUCUUCUUCAUCCAA